UCUGUUAGGUCCCUUUGGUCUAAAGUGUAGUUUAAGUUUGAUGUUUCCUUAUUGAUUUUCUGUCUGGAUAAUCUGUCCAUUGUUGAAGCUGUGGUAGAGAAGUCCUUUACUAUUUUUGUAUUGCAAUCUAUAUCUUCCUUCAGAUCUAUUCAUAUUUGCUCCAUUCAUCUAAGUGCUCUGAUGUUGGUUGCGUAUGUAUUCACAAUUGUUAUAUCUUCUUGAUGAAUUGAUUCCCUGAUGGUUACAUAGCAAUUUUGUCUCUUUUUGAAGUUUUGACUUAAAGUUUAUUUUAUCUGAUUUAAGUAUAGGCACUCCUGCUCUCUUGGUUUUUAUUUACAUGGUUUAUCUUUUUUCAUCCUUUCACUUUCUUUCCAUAUGACUUUCAGUUAUAAAGUUGAAGUGAGUCUCUUUUAGCAACAUAUAGUUGGGUCACUUAAAAAAAUCAUUUAUUCACUCUCUCUUUUGAUUGAAGAAUUUAAUCUAUUUACAUUCAAGAUAAUUAUUGAUAAGUAAGAAGUUAGUACUAUCAUUUUAUUAUUAUUUUCUGGUUGUUCUGUAGAUUCUUUGUUCCUUUCUUCCUCUCUUGCUAUUUUUUUUAGUGGUUAGGUGAUAUUCUUUACAGCAUACAUUGAUUAUUUUUCUUUUUUUUGAGACAGGGCCUCAUUCUGUCCCCCAAGCUGGAGUUCAGUGUCAUGAUCAUGGCUCACAGCAGCCUCGACUUCCCAGACUCAGAGACAGUCCUUCAUUAUGUUUCUCAGGCAGUCAAUAACUCCUGGGCUCAAGUGAUCCAGGCCACCACGGCCUCCCAAAGUGUUGGGAUUACAGGGUGAGCCACUGUGCCUCGCUGAUUCCUUACUUUUUAUCUUUUGUGUCUGGUGAUGAUAAACUCCCUCAGCUUUUGUUUGUCUGGGAAAGCCAUUAUCUCUUCUUUGUUUCUGAAGGACAGUUUGCCAGGUGCCUUAUGAGUUUUUGCAGCUAUACCCACAGACACUUAAAUGAACGAAACAAGGAAUGACAAACAGGACACUUGCUACACAUGCCGAGGACCCUCACUUUAGGAAUAUGUAGAAAACAAUGUGGCAUUUUUGAAUGGAUAAAAAGCUGUUCAUAUCUCCCACAAUUGACUGAAUGUUCUAAGCUUGAAUAAACAGUUAUACAAAUAAUG